rnacentral:tRNA from 1 species
UAGCUUAGUUGGUCAGAGUGCAGGACUGUCAGUCCCGAGGCCUGGGUCGUCGGUUCGAUUUCGG